GUAUCUUUGAGCAGUGAAAGUUGUUAUUUAUUUCUUUUUACUUGUCGGCAGUGAUUUGUUUUCCACAGAGCUCUACGUGCGAGCAUUUUACUUGCAUUUGCGACUAAAAAUAGUUUUGUGCCAGCAAAAUAAAUCAUUCAGCACGCUGUGCGAGUACAGAUUUCAACCAGCAGUAGAAACGAAAGGCGAAUUUUGCCAAUUAUGGGUUGAACGGGGGUCACAGACAGGAAUGCGGCGGUCAAAUAGCCUACGGCGGCUCCGCGGUGCAAGAUAACGGCUUACCGGCGACAGAGAAGUCCGACUCCAGGUCCAGUAAUUUCCUCUUUCGUUGACGUCAUGACUGCCGUGGCGGCACACAGGUAUCUCAAGAAGGCCUCGAGGAAAUGUUCUCAAAUUUGGGACAAACGUCCACGCGGACUCAAGAAUACAAAGAAGUUUAAAUAAAGAAGAAGAAGAAGAAGAAGAAGUAGAAGAUGUGAGAGCAGUACUGAGAAGAUGUUGAAGAAUAGAUGAUCAUAUUUAUUUGUUAAUUUGAAUACAAUCACAUUGUUACAGCAUUACUGAUUUGUGCACACUGACAUUAACAUCUUAAAAAUGUUAAACUUUAACCUCCUAAAGAAUAAAUUUUCAAAAUAUACAUGAACUGGUCAUUCACCAGAACAAGGUACCUCACUCCUUGGGGGUCCCAAGAAGGGAGGUCCCUCAUCUUUUCAGGGUCCUCUGGAAGGAAGCAGCUCACCCCCUUUAGGGUCCCCAGAAAGGAGGUGCCU